GACGAACGCUGGCGGCGUGCCUAAUACAUGCAAGUCGAGCGGACUGAAUGGGAGCUUGCUCUUGUUCGGUCAGCGGCGGACGGGUGAGUAACACGUGGGCAACCUGCCCGCAAGACCGGGAUAACUCCGGGAAACCGGAGCUAAUACCGGAUAACACCGAAGACCGCAUGGUCUUUGGUUGAAAGGCGGCGCACGCUGCCACUUGUGGAUGGGCCCGCGGCGCAUUAGCUAGUUGGUGAGGUAACGGCUCACCAAGGCGACGAUGCGUAGCCGGCCUGAGAGGGUGACCGGCCACACUGGGACUGAGACACGGCCCAGACUCCUACGGGAGGCAGCAGUAGGGAAUCUUCCGCAAUGGGCGAAAGCCUGACGGAGCGACGCCGCGUGAGCGAAGAAGGCCUUCGGGUCGUAAAGCUCUGUUGUGAGGGACGAAGGAGCGCCGUUUGAAGAAGGCGGCGCGGUGACGGUACCUCACGAGGAAGCCCCGGCUAACUACGUG
rnacentral:rRNA from 1 species